ACCGGAACUUCCUUUUCCGGUCAUAUCACGGCGGCGGACCACCGGCGUUUGCUUUGUCUCGACGACGCCGAUGCACCUCUGGCCAAGGAUCGUCCAUGCACAGACCGUGGAGGGAGGUUCAAAGCUUGGAAGCUUAAAGCUUUUCCGGUGUCCUCGGCUUUUCCGGCGACUCCGGCAUCGUUUAGGUCGUCUGAGCUCUUCUGGGUUCGUUUUCCGUCUUGCCUGCACCUGUAGACGUGUCAACCUCGACUAUAGCUGGAUGUUCGAAGCUGCUGGGUUGGUGUACUCUGGCUCCUCCGUUUGUUCAUCGUCGAAAUUUCGGGAAGUACCGUGUCUUGAAAUUGAGCCUAGGUGAGCUACGUUAUCUAUCUUUAGACUUGGAGAAUUUUGGUUGUUGUUGCCGGAUGGGUGUUGUUAUGCAUGGAGUUUUGGUUUGAAAGUAAAGAACAGGGAGAAGUUAUUGGAGAGGUGAAAGUGUAAAGAUUAAGAAAAUGGUUAUUAAUCGAAAUUGAAGUAGUGAUUUGGUUUGCAAUGAUUUUGGUUGAUGAAUGAAAUUGUCGAUGGUACUAGUUUUGGGUUUUGGUACAAAUGCAGAGUUAAGUGGGUGUCCUUAGUAGUUUUGGAUACACUUCAUUUGAAUUGGAAAGUUGUUGGGUCUCCAUAGUAAAUUCAAUGAAAUUACUAUGUGACGUGAUUGUGAAGAAAAACAGAAAUUAAAUGUUAAAAGGCAUAUAAAUUGGUCAGUAUUCCAAUUUUAAGUGAGUGAAAUGUUCGGUACUUGGGCUAA